rnacentral:rRNA from 1 species
CUCAGGACGAACGCUGGCGGCAUGCCUAACACAUGCAAGUCGAACGGAGUAAUGACUUCGGUAUACUAGUGGCGAACGGGUGAGUAACACGUGAAUAAUCUGCCCUGUACGAUGGGAUAACAGCUGGAAACGGCUGCUAAUACCGUAUAUGACCACGCCGAGGCAUCUCGGAGGGGUGAAAGCGCUUAAGCGGUACAGGAUGAGUUCGCGUCCAAUUAGCUAGUUGGUGAGGUAACGGCCCACCAAGGCGACGAUUGGUAGCCGACCUGAGAGGGUGAUCGGCCACACUGGAACUGAGACACGGUCCAGACUCCUACGGGAGGCAGCAGUGGGGAAUAUUGGGCAAUGGAGGAAACUCUUACCCAGCAAUGCCGCGUGAGUGAUGAAGGUCUUCGGAUUGUAAAGCUCUUUGAUUGGGGACGAAUAAAUGACGGUACCCAAGGAACAAGCCCCGGCUAACUAUGUGCCAGCCGCUGC